rnacentral:rRNA from 1 species
CGCUGGCGGCGUGCCUAAUACAUGCAAGUCGAGCGGAAUGAUGAAGAAGCUUGCUUCUUCUGAUUUUAGCGGCGGACGGGUGAGUAACACGUGGGCAACCUACCUUGUAGAUUGGGAUAACUCCGGGAAACCGGGGCUAAUACCGAAUAAUCCAUUUUGCUUCAUGGCGAGAUGUUAAAAGGCGGCUUCGGCUGUCACUACGAGAUGGGCCCGCGGCGCAUUAGCUAGUUGGUAGGGUAAUGGCCUACCAAGGCGACGAUGCGUAGCCGACCUGAGAGGGUGAUCGGCCACACUGGGACUGAGACACGGCCCAGACUCCUACGGGAGGCAGCAGUAGGGAAUCUUCCACAAUGGACGAAAGUCUGAUGGAGCAACGCCGCGUGAGUGAAGAAGGUUUUCGGAUCGUAAAACUCUGUUGUAAGGGAAGAACACGUACGAGAGUAACUGCUCGUACCUUGACGGUACCUUAUUAGAAAGCCACGGCUAACUACGUG